rnacentral:rRNA from 1 species
CGCAUCUGUGCAUGCAGCAUAUCAAUAAGCGGAGGAAAAGAAACUAACAAGGAUUCCCCUAGUAACGGCGAGUGAAGCGGGAAGAGCUCAAAUUUGAAAUCUUAAAGGGUUUCCCUUUACGAAUUGUAGUUUAAAGAAGUGUUUUCUGUUGAGGUUUUGGUAAAAGUUCUUUGGAAUAGGACAUCAUAGAGGGUGAGAAUCCCGUAUUUGACCUUUACUUUCAACUUUGUGAUACACUUUCAAAGAGUCGGAUUGUUUGGGAAUGCAGUCCAAAAUGGGUGGUAAAUUUCAUCUAAAGCUAAAUAUUGGCGAGAGACCGAUAGCGAACAAGUACCGUGAGGGAAAGAUGAAAAGAACUUUGAAAAGAGAGUUAAACAGUACGUGAAAUUGUCAAAAGGGAAGCGUUUGACACCAGUGUUGUUUUUCUGAAAAUCAAUUAAAGAACUGUUUAUGCUAAGCUGUUUAGACUUUAUCAGCUAAUCUGUUUAGUUUUGAGCUUUUCUUUAAUGCACUUUUCAGUUAACAAGUCAACAUCAAUUUCUUUUGCUGUAAAAAAGCUUGAGGAAGGUGGCUUGAGAUUCGUCUUAAGUGUUUAUAGCCUCUUGCCUAUGCAGUCGGAGAGAUUGAGGUCUGCAGCGUAGAUCCUUCGGGGCUAAAUGCAUUUGUGCUAAGUUAUAGCAUUUUAUAGACAACUUGUUGACUAUGAUUUGUCUUGUAGCUUACCUCGCUUAUGUUAUUUUACCUACGCUUAGGAUGUUGAGUCGUAGAGCACGCAG